GUAUCAAACAUUGUCAAUAUGUCGAAUUAUAUUACACUAUUGUUUGUCAUAAUGGCAGCUCUUCUAAUUAUGGGCCUUGAGACCAGCGCCUGUGUAAUACCUGCAGUGAUUCGCGUCGAAAAUGAUCUGGCUAGACGCGUAUUGCGAAGGGGUAUUACGUUAGCGGGAUAGACGUCUAUAGAAAAUAUUCUGUAUGAAAAUAAUAAAGUAUAAAAAUCA